AUUGAACGCUGGCGGCAUGCCUUACACAUGCAAGUCGAACGGUAACGCGGGGCAACCUGGCGACGAGUGGCGAACGGGUGAGUAAUGCAUCGGAACGUGCCCAGUAGUGGGGGAUAGCCAGGCGAAAGCCGGAUUACUACCGCAUACGACCUACGGGUGAAAGCGGGGGACGGUAAGGCGUCUCGCGACUGGAGCGGCCGAUGUCAGAUUAGGUAGUUGGUGGGGUAAAGGCCUACCAAGCCUACGAUCUGUAGCUGGUCUGAGAGGACGACCAGCCACACUGGGACUGAGACACGGCCCAGACUCCUACGGGAGGCAGCAGUGGGGAAUUUUGGACAAUGGGGGCAACCCUGAUCCAGCCAUGCCGCGUGCGGGAAGAAGGCCUUCGGGUUGUAAACCGCUUUUGUCAGGGAAGAAAUCUUCUGGGCUAAUACCUCGGGAGGAUGACGGUACCUGAAGAAUAAGCACCGGCUAACUACGUGCCAGCCGCCGCCGUAAGAC
rnacentral:rRNA from 1 species